rnacentral:sRNA from 1 species
GCUGGGUGUAGUGGCUUACACCUGUAAUUCAAGCACUUUGGAGGCCAAGGCGGGUGGAUCACCUGAGGUCGGGAGUUCAAGACCAGCCUGACCAACAUGGUGAAAUCCCGUCUUUA